ensembl:lncRNA
CAUCAGGCACUACUAUUGAGGGCCAUGCUUUUUCAAGGAAGGACAGGAAUUAAAGAGAUGUAAGUACAACUUCUACUUGGCAAGGGCUCUAGAGAACACUAUAAAUUUCCCUGUGUAGCUAGAGUAAAGUGACAGAAGGGAUAGAAAUAAGAAUGAGGAUGGAGAUGUAAUCAAGAACCAGACCACAUAGUGCCCCUAUGCUUCAAGGCUUGGCUUUAUGCCACUUGCCAGGGUAACUCAACAAAAGCUGCAAGGAAGGAAAUGAUUGGAGCUGAAGUUCAGCCAACGUUCACAAUGACUAAAGCCAAAGGGCUAGGGGAGAGUUAUGAAGAUGAAAUAAAAAAAGCUAGUAAAUUACAUCAAAUACUUUUCUAAUAUGAAAACAACACUAGACUUCCAGGAAGAUGGUAGAGUGGUGAGCAACAGUGAAAGAGCCUCUCUGAGAUUUGGUGCCCUGACCCUGGAAUAUGGCAGUACAAGGAAUAGAAGGAGGGAAGUGGGUCCCACAGACCUCACAUCUGUGAGGAUGCGAGGAGAGAAUUGAAGUCCAGGGGAGUGUGAAGAAAGAGGCUAAUGAAGAAGAAGCAGGUACCAAGCAGUGCUGUCUCCCAGAGCCUGGACACUCAACAGGGGAACUUCAGGGCCGAACCUGAAGACACACAGUGGUGACCCCAGAGGUGAACCCAGAGGCCUCCACAGAGAAACACACCAGUGGAUGCACAGCAUCCCAGCGGCUGGUGACUUCUCCAGGCAUCCCAGAGAACACAAUUGGCUGUUAGCUAUCUUGGAGAGGGCUAAACUGAGCUUGGAACUCAGAACAGCUAGGGCCAACCCCAGCUCGUGGCUGCCAGUGCCUCAGUGCGGGUGCUGAGUUCAAGUCAGCAAGAGAUCAGAGAGUAGAGUUUAAUCAAGCAGGCAGGAGGUACAUAGACUGUUGUAGGCUCAAGGAAUCUGGUAGCAGCCUCAUAGCAGAAAUAAUUUCUCAAAUGACUAUAGAGAUGGUGACCAGAAUGAAAGGCCUACUUAGUGACUCUAGAGCAGAUACAGAUAAACAAAAAAAUUUUUUUUUAAAUAGAGAAGCUCGGGAACAUGAUGAAAACAAUACUACGUUUUGGGGUUAUACUCAACAUACA